AGGCUCAUGCCCGUGUUCUUUUUGACUUCUGUGGAGGGUGGAUUUUUGCUUGGGUCUUUCUCACUUUCUUUCAUUUGUUUGUGCCCUUUCAGUCUUGCUUCGGAUUUCUAACUGUUUUGCUCUCUUGAGAUUCAUUUGGAGUAUCAUUGAACUUGAAUGAAAGGACUGUUUAUUGAACCGAGGUUUAGGACAUCAGUGAACUUGAAUGAAGCAAUCGCUUAUUCAACCAAGCUUUAGGACAUCAGGUCAGGUUCAAGGGGCCAUAUUCUAUUGAAACAUGUUUUUGAAUGUGAAUGCUAUUUGUAAAGCACAUGUUUCGCCGUAAUUUUCCUACCGUUCAUGCAUAUUUCUUUUUUUUAAAACUCUUACGUUUUUCCUCAUGAGGUUUUGUGGAGCAGUUGGUUCCUAGUUAUUUUCUUCUUGUUUUUUUCUAUUGACUUUUUGCCUAUAGGCGUGCAGCCAAAAUCAACACUCUGCAAUGAGUGACCUCUCCUUCAGUGAUCGCAAGAAUAAUUUUUCUCUCACAAAUUUUGCU